AGGCUUAUAGUCUAUGUAGGACACUAAGUUGCAAACUUAGAGGAGGAUGGUAUUCCUAAGGCUU
rnacentral:tRNA from 2 species